ACGAAGGGGGCGAGCGUUGUUCGGAAUUACUGGGCGUAAAGGGUGUGUAGGCGGUUAUGUAAGAUAGCGGUGAAAUCCCGGGGCUUAACCUCGGAAUAGCCGUUAUAACUAUGUAGCUAGAGUUAUGGAGAGGAUAGCGGAAUACCCAGUGUAGAGGUGAAAUUCGUAGAUAUUGGGUAGAACACCGGUGGCGAAGGCGGCUAUCUGGCCAUAUACUGACGCUGAGGCACGAAAGCAUGGGGAUCAAACAG
rnacentral:rRNA from 1 species